UACAGAGGUCUCAAGCGUUGUUCGGAUUCAUUGGGCGUAAAGGGUGCGUAGGCGGCGCGGUAAGUCGGGUGUGAAAGCCCCGGGCUCAACCUGGGAAUGGCAUUCGAGACUGUGUAGCUAGGAUGCGGAAGAGGGAAGCGGAAUUUCCGGUGUAGCGGUGAAAUGCGUAGAUAUCGGAAGGAACACCAGUGGCGAAAGCGGCUUCCUGGUCCAGCAUCGACGUCAGGCACGAAAGCGUGGGGAGCAAACAGG
rnacentral:rRNA from 1 species